UACGGAAGGCAGCAGUGGGGAAUAUUGCACAAUGGGCGCAAGCCUGAUGCAGCCAUGCCGCGUGUAUGAAGAAGGCCUUCGGGUUGUAAAGUACUUUCAGUCGUGAGGAAGGUGUUAAGGUUAAUAACCUUAGCAAUUGACGUUAGCGACAGAAGAAGCACCGGCUAACUCCGUGCCAGCAGCCGCGGUAAUACGGAGGGUGCGAGCGUUAAUCGGAAUUACUGGGCGUAAAGGGCACGCAGGCGGUUAAUUAAGUUGGAUGUGAAAUCCCCGGGCUUAACCUGGGAAUGGCAUUCAAGACUGGUUAGCUAGAGUCUUGUAGAGGGGGUAGAAUUCCAUGUGUAGCGGUGAAAUGCGUAGAGAUGUGGAGGAAUACCUGUGGCGAAAGCGGCUCCUAAACGAAUACUGACACUGAGGGUGCGAAAGCGUGGGGAGCAAACAGGGAUUAGAUACC
rnacentral:rRNA from 1 species